AACUAGUGUAUGCUAAAGUUGUUGCGUCUAAAUCGCUCGUCGUUGGAUUUUGGGAGCGUCAACCAAGCGGGUCGGCCUGCCAGGACUGGCGUGUGCUGCCCGCGCGCUCUUGUAGGACUUUUCGUUUGUGGGCCGCCGCUAUUCACUUAGCGGCGGUUAUCGCACGAGAACGUUUCCUGUGAAAAAUUAGAGUGUUCAAAGCAGGGAAGUUUCGCCUGUUGAAUAUCGCAGCAUGGGAUAAUAGAAUAUGACCACCGCAUCGGUGCGUUUGUUGGUUUUAACCGCGGAGGUAAUGAUUAAUAGGAGCGGUUGGGGAUAUUAGUACUCCGCAGUCAGAGGUGAAAUUCUAUGAUUUGCGGAAGACUAACUACUGCGAAAGCAUUUAUCAAGGACGCUUUCAUUGAUCAGGAACGAGAGUUAGGGGAUCGAAGAUGAUCAGAUACCGU
rnacentral:rRNA from 1 species